rnacentral:lncRNA from 1 species
GUUUAACAAUCGGAUCGGAGGCGGAUUCAGAGGCAAAAUCUAUGUUGCCUAUUUCUUCAUUCUUUUUCAGGUAUUAUUUCAAAACACCCAAAUCCGUAUUCAAAAUUGGAAAAGAGGCAAAAAUGUUGAAGGAUAGAUAGAACACAUAUAUGUUAGAAUUUGAGCCUAAUUUAAUAUGAAUAUCAUUAAUUAUUUUUAAUGAUUUAAUAUAUUAAUGUGUUCUACUUUAUGAGUAGAUUAAAUUAAGUAUUUGAAAGCUCAAAUUCAUGGAGUAGUGAUAUAUAGCACGAGUCCGAGAAAGUUGGUUAGAACAAUAUAAAAGGCUUUGGAAGCCCAUGAAUUAAAAGUUGUAUUUUAAUUAGUUUUAUUUAAUUUAUAGGUAUCUUAUUAGAGUCCAAUUUAGGUUAGGAAAGUUGUUUAAGAAUAUUAUAAAUAGUGAUGUACUUCAUUCUUUUGAGACAUUGAAUAAUUAGAAUUGAUUGAGUUUUGUGUGAGAAUUGUCUGUGUGAUUAUAUGUUGUUCCAAAACCCCGUACCCAUCAAACAUAGUUGGGGAAAUAUUACAAAUAAUAAUGCAUCAUUCAUACAUGGGUUAAUUUGUGUGUAAUAAAGUUGUGAAAUGAAGAUUAUCUUAAGAGUAAAGUUCAGAUCACCACCUAGAAUUUGGCGUCUUUCCCACUUAACCACAUGUAGUCAGUAAAGCUACAUUUAAACUCUCGACUUAUUGAGUUGAACUGAAAACGUCACUUUUUCCAUCCAGUGUGUAUGUCAGACGCCAAAAGCGCGUGAGAAGGCAUUGUAACGGUCAAAAAAGAUUGGUAAAUAUCUGAAAUACCCCAUUCUUCUUCCUCUUGACUUUUAAAAGACAUUCUGAAUUAUUUUGUUCGACCCCAUUUCAGCUCCAUCGCAGACGUGAAGAAGCAGACGAAAUUGAAGGCUAUUAGCAGACCAAAUUCAGUUAGUAUACUUCUUAACUAAAGCUCCAAAAAUCGUAGCACACAGUGAGAGAAGGAAAAGGAAUCCGGCUGGUAAAGGAGAAGGAAUUGAGCAACAACCAUUUGCAAUUUCUGAAGGUAAGUUUUCUAAUCUCCUUUCAUUCCUUUUUCAUUCCAUCCUUGUUAAGAAAAUGACUUUCAUGGCCGAAUGGCUCUGCAUGAACUUGAAGGACUGUUUGUCCUUUUAGUUGUUAUGUUGCUGCUGUAAAAUUUAGUUCACUGGUAUGCUACUGUUAUGUAUGAAAAUUUGGCAGAAGGAGAUAGGUUGGGUUGUGGAGUAAUAAGGAUGUUGUUAUGGGUUGUUAUUGUAAACAAUGACUAUGAAAUUAGUAACCUAAAACUAUGUUUAUCAGCUAUUUGAUAAAAGUUCUAAAAGAACUAUUUUGACUGAAAACUAAAUAUUAGACCAAAGUAAAGAUUAGGCUUGACUUGUUUAUCAUAUGUGGUGUUAAUUGGAAAUUUUGAAGGUAUUAGAUUAGAGCGAAAAGAAAAUUCAAGCUAAAACUAACAAAUUUCAAUCCAUCUCUCAAUUUUGAUCUGAUUUUGUUCGAAAAGAUCACAGAUCUGUUUGUUCCCGAAGUUGAACAUAUAUAUACAUUUAUGGUCUACUCUCUGAUAUUAUUCUUCGUGUUGUUUAUGUGAAUUAGGAGUCAUGUCUUCGCCAAGCAAUGAUGUCGGAAGGAUGAAUGGUGACUUGCGCUACAUACCUAGGCGAUGUAAAUGUGGAAAAAAGGCAAGUGUAAGAAUUGUUGACUCAAACAAACCAUCGAAGGGGAGGUUAUAUUUUGUAUGCGAUGAGUGUGAGUUUGGGCAUGGUGCUUGCCUUCUACAACAAACUCAAGUGGAAUAGUCAAUGGCCCCAAUGAAGACAAUGACAGAAUGGGGACAUUGAUGAGUGGAACAAAAUGCAAGUGUUCAUGUGAGCUGAAUAACAUACCAAGUAGGAUGAUAGUUGUUGAAAGUAAUGUGAAGAUGAUAAUUGUUGUUGGACUUGUGUUGUAUUUCAUGUCAAUCGUGAUGUUUUUU